GACGAACGCUGGCGGCGUGCUUAACACAUGCAAGUCGAACGAAGAGCGAUGGAAGCUUGCUUCUAUCAAUCUUAGUGGCGAACGGGUGAGUAACGCGUAAUCAACCUGCCCUUCAGAGGGGGACAACAGUUGGAAACGACUGCUAAUACCGCAUACGAUCUAAUCUCGGCAUCGAGGAUAGAUGAAGGGUGGCCUCUACAUGUAAGCUAUCACUGAAGGAGGGGAUUGCGUCUGUUUAGCUAGUUGGAGGGGGAACGGCCCACCAAGGCGAUGAUCAGUAGCCGGUUGGAGAGGAGGAACGGCCACAUUGGGACUGAGACACGGCCCAGACUCCUACGGGAGGCAGCAGGGGGGAAUCUUCCGCAAUGGACGAAAGUCUGACGGAGCAACGCCGCGUGAGUGAUGACGGCCUUCGGGUUGUAAAGCUCUGUUAAUCGGGACGAAAGGCCUUCUUGCGAAUAGUGAGAAGGAUUGACGGUACCGGAAUAGAAAGCCACGGCUAACUACGUG
rnacentral:rRNA from 1 species